AACCUGUGACAUUACCUGGUAAUAACCUGGUUAAAACCUGAGACAUUACCUGGUAAUAACCUGGUUAUAACCUGAGACAUUACCUGGUAAUAACCUGAGACAAUACCUGGAAAUAACCUGGUUAUAACCUGAGACAUUACUUGGUAAUAACCUGGUAAUAACCUGGUAAUUACCUGGUAAGAACCUGAGACAUUACUUGGUUAUAACCUGGUUAUUACCUGGUUAUAACCUGAGACAUUAUCAUGUUAUAACCUGGUAAUAACCUAAGACAUUACCUGGUUUUAACCUGGUUAUAACCUGGUAAGUACCUGGUAAUAACCUGAGACAUUACCCUGUUUAAACCUGGUUAUAACCUGGUUACAACCUGGUAAUAACCUGAGACAUUACCCUGUUAUAACCUGGUUAUAACCUGGUUAUAACCUGAGACAAUACCUGGUUAUAACCUGAGACAUUACCUGGUUAUAACCUAGUUAUAACCUGGUUAUAACCUGAGACAUUACCUGGUUAUAACCUGGUUAUAACCUGAAACAGAACCUGGUUAU